rnacentral:rRNA from 1 species
AGGACGAACGCUGGCGGCGUGCUUAACACAUGCAAGUCGAGCGGAAAGGCCCUUCGGGGUACUCGAGCGGCGAACGGGUGAGUAACACGUGAGCAACCUGCCCUUAGCUCCGGGAUAGCUCCGGGAAACCGGAAUUAAUACCGGAUACGACCACGGCCGACAUCUACCGUGGUGGAAAGGAUUCCGGCUAAGGAUGGGCUCGCGGCCUAUCAGCUAGGUUGGUGGAGUAACGGCCCACGAAGGCGACGGACGGGUA